CACGUUCGCCCUCCAACUUUCUUUCAUUUCAGGAACUUCAAAGCGGCUCGAGUUUGGCAACUCAGUAAAAUCGAGUCGCGACUCACCGAUUCGUCAUUUCAAUUUUCGUCUCCAUUUCUCCGGAAAGUAUGGUCGUUAAACCCUCCGACGCGUAGGGUUCUUGAUUCUUACGCUGGUUCUGCGACAAAUUUCGAAUGAUUCUGAAUCUCCGAUUCCAGUUCGUUCAGUAAGAUCGUUUCUCGUUUUGAACAAGGAAGCGAUGGGAUAGGCAUUUCGUCGAGCGGCGGAAAGAAUCAAGCCGGCUUGGAGCGUGGAUUCCACUGCCUCUUCGUUGAAAAUGGAGAGUGUCGUCGAUUGAAAACCUCCGCCGCGUGCGGCCGAGGAGGCUCGGGAGAGCGGCGCUCAUGAUUCUGGUGGUGUCUUGGGAAGUAAUUCUGGAAAUGUGCUUGAGGAACGAGAUCUACGGUUUGAUGCCAUAUGGUGGGUCGAAACUAGAUCAAAGCCUGGAUCAAAACUUGAGAUGAGGGAGGGCUCUGUGGUGGAGAGGUAUGACAGACCAAUGCCAAAGCAAAGAAAUACAGAUCUAAAAUCCAGUAAAUACGAGGAUCGCACAGCCCCACCAGGAACUUUAAAUGUAGCACAGAUGCGCCACAUAAUCCUCCUAAAUGAAUGUAAGGCUGAUGACUUCGAGGGGCCAAUAUGCGUUCACCAAAUUGCUGAAAGGUAUAAUAAUGUCAGCGUCCAUCAAAUACAGUCGAUUUUGCAGUUUCUGUCUCUGCCACCGGAGGACAGUCUUUUAGAGAGAAAAAGAAGGAUCCUUAAUAA